UUAUAAUUGAAGCCUAUAUCAUAAUAAAAAUAAUAACUACAGUCAAAUAAUAAACAAUUCAACUAUUACACUUUUAAAACAAACUUUAUUACUUUUGAGAAAAUUCCAUAAAAUAAAUUUUAAAAUUUUAUAUUAUACAAAUAUAAUAAAAUGAAAUAAUAAAAUAAAACAAAAACAAACAAGAAAUAAUAAUAAUACAAUUUCAGGCAGACAAUUCAUCUCAGUCUAAAAUGCUUUAAAAUAUCAAAUAAAUAAAAUAUCUCAGACAAAAAUUUCUCAUUCAGUGCAUAAAUGAAACACAGUUAAUUAAUAUGUAUAUGAUCAGACUGAAGUACGACUUUAUGUGAAAAUCACAUGUUCUGCGAAUGGUAUACACAAAAUAUACAUCAUAUUAGAUCAUUAAUCAUCAAUGUUUUGUAAAAACUAAGUUUUCCCCGGU
rnacentral:lncRNA from 1 species